rnacentral:rRNA from 1 species
AUUGAACGCUGGCGGCAGGCUUAACACAUGCAAGUCGAGCGGGGUGAUGGUGCUUGCACUAUCACUUAGCGGCGGACGGGUGAGUAAUGCUUAGGAAUCUGCCUAUUAGUGGGGGACAACAUCUCGAAAGGGAUGCUAAUACCGCAUACGUCCUACGGGAGAAAGCAGGGGAUCACUUGUGACCUUGCGCUAAUAGAUGAGCCUAAGUCGGAUUAGCUAGUUGGUGGGGUAAAGGCCUACCAAGGCGACGAGCUGUAGCGGGUCUGAGAGGAUGAUCCGCCACACUGGGACUGAGACACGGCCCAGACUCCUACGGGAGGCAGCAGUGGGGAAUAUUGGACAAUGGGGGGAACCCUGAUCCAGCCAAGCCGCGUGUGAAGAAGGCCUUAUGGUUGUAAAGCACUUUAAGCGAGGAGGAGGCUCUUUUGGUUAAUACCCAAGAUGAGUGGACGUUACUCGCAGAAUAAGCACCGGCUAACUCUGUGCCAGCCGCCGCAGUAA